UACUGAGUUUACGCUCUACAACCCUUUGUGAACAUACCUAUAACUGUUGCUUCGGCGGGUAGGGUCUCCGUGACCCUCCCGGCCUCCCGCCCCCGGGCGGGUCGGCGCCCGCCGGAGGAUAACCAAACUCUGAUUUAACGACGUUUCUUCUGAGUGGUACAAGCAAAUAAUCAAAACUUUUAACAACGGAUCUCUUGGUUCUGGCAUCGAUGAAGAACGCAGCGAAAUGCGAUAAGUAAUGUGAAUUGCAGAAUUCAGUGAAUCAUCGAAUCUUUGAACGCACAUUGCGCCCGCCAGCAUUCUGGCGGGCAUGCCUGUUCGAGCGUCAUUUCAACCCUCAAGCUCUGCUUGGUGUUGGGGCCCUACAGCUGAUGUAGGCCCUCAAAGGUAGUGGCGGACCCUCCCGGAGCCUCCUUUGCGUAGUAACUUUACGUCUCGCACUGGGAUCCGGAGGGACUCUUGCCGUAAAACCCCCAAUUUUCCAAAGGUUGACCUCGGAUCAGGUAGGAAUACCCGCUGAACUUAAGCAUAUCAAUAAGCGGAGGAAAAGAAACCAACAGGGAUUGCCUCAGUAACGGCGAGUGAAGCGGCAACAGCUCAAAUUUGAAAUCUGGCCCUAGGCCCGAGUUGUAAUUUGCAGAGGAUGCUUUUGGUGCGGUGCCUUCCAAGUUCCCUAGAACGGGACGCCAGAGAGGGUGAGAGCCCCGUACAGUUGGACACCAAGCCUUUGUAAAGCUCCUUCGACGAGUCGAGUAGUUUGGGAAUGCUGCUCAAAAUGGGAGGUAUAUUUCUUCUAAAGCUAAAUACCGGCCAGAGACCGAUAGCGCACAAGUAGAGUGAUCGAAAGAUGAAAAGCACUUUGAAAAGAGGGUUAAACAGCACGUGAAAUUGUUAAAAGGGAAGCGCUUGUGACCAGACUUGCGUCCGGUGAAUCACCCAGCUCUCGCGGCUGGGGCACUUCGCCGGCUCAGGCCAGCAUCAGCUCGCUGUCGGGGACAAAAGCUUCAGGAACGUAGCUCUCUUCGGGGAGUGUUAUAGCCUGUUGCAUAAUACCCUUCGGCGGGCGAGGUACGC
rnacentral:misc_RNA from 1 species